GUGGACAUCUUCAAUAAGGAGCUACUGCUAAUCCCCAUCCACCUGGAGGUGCAUUGGUCCCUCAUCUCUGUUGAUGUGAGGCGACGCACCAUCACCUAUUUUGACUCGCAGCGUACCCUAAACCGCCGCUGCCCUAAGUACUGCAAGCAUCUGGCCCUGUCUCAGCCAUUCAGCUUCACCCAGCAGGACAUGCCCAAACUUCGUCGGCAGAUCUACAAGGAGCUGUGUCACUGCAAACUCACUGUGUGAGCCUCGUACCCCAGACCCCAAGCCCAUAAAUGGGAAGGGAGACAUGGGAGUCCCUUCCCAAGAAACUCCAGUUCCUUUCCUCUCUUGCCUCUUCCCACUCACUUCCCUUUGGUUUUUCAUAUUUAAAUGUUUCAAUUUCUGUAUUUUUUUUUCUUUGAGAGAAUACUUGUUGAUUUCUGAUGUGCAGGGGGUGGCUACAGAAAAGCCCCUUUCUUCCUCUGUUUGCAGGGGAGUGUGGCCCUGU
rnacentral:lncRNA from 1 species